rnacentral:sRNA from 1 species
UUUCAGCGCACCAAGAGGAUGACUGGACGGUCAUAGUGCCACAAAAGAAAGGGCACAACAACAAAUCUC